UAUUUAGUAGCCCUACACUAAUUAUUUUAAUCAACAUGGAGUGUAUUUCAAAUGACUACAAAUAGUUCUAACUAAUUAGAUGGAGUACAAAAUAAUAUCUUAUGUAAUAAAUUUGCAGGUGCUCCAAAGAGUGGGAAUGAGCCACAGGAUAAUGUCUCAGAGACCUUACCCACCUGACUUGAAUUCAAUGAUCACCUAUGCCUGCAUUGUCUAAUAUGGUAACCACUAGCCAAAGGUGGCUAGUAAGCACUUGGAAAGUUGGUAUCUAAAUCAUACUGCUACAAGGAUAAAACACUUACUAUAAAGUUUGAAGACUUAUUGGAAACAAAAAUCAAAAGAAUAGUUGAAGCAGGAGAGGGGAGACCUGGUUAAAAAUGGAAUUUACAAAAUGUUCAUAUAAGAGGUAAGUAUACAGCUUGGCAACUAAUGAGAAUUGAGAGUGAGAGAAAAGAUGCAUGGAAAAUGACUUCUGGCUUGUGUAACCUGCUACAGUGAUACCUCUACCUAAAUUAGGCUCUGCAUUUAUUCCUUCAAUAAAUAGUAACUACCUACCUUAUAUUUACAUCCACAUGAAUAAGACAUUUUUAAUCCUUGAGAGCUCACAGUCCAUUGGGGAGAGUAGUAAACAAACAAUUAAAAUGUACUAUGGUAAGAACUUCAUCAAAGUUAUGCCUUGGAGAUCAUGGGAGCCCAAAGGCAUAUCCCAUGCAGCUGGGAGUGAAAUCGGAGGAGGCAGCCUCUGGAAAUGUGGUUUGGCCAGUCCGCUUUGGCUGUCAAGUUAUGUGUGAGCUUAGUUUGGCAAAUAUUGACGCGGGUACCUGUGAAGAUGUGAAAAUGGGUGUUAGUUAUAAUGAUCUAGGGCUAAGGAAAGGGUUUGAUUUACUAUAGUAGUUAGCAGUCAUCAGCAUACAGGUGUAAGCAGAUAGAAGGAGGUGUAUCAUCUAGGGAAAAUAUUAACUCUCUUGCUUAUUUUCAUGUGGGGCACAACAGAGGCAUAGAGAUAUGUUAGAGAUAAGUAGGAGAAGGAGACUGGAUAGAAUUAGUAAGAGGAAUAGGAGAACAUUGAAAGAGAGGACUUAUAGAAGCCAAAGGAGAAGAACUUUUCAGGUAUAAGACACUUAGUGUUACUGUAAAUGGUGCCAGGGCCUCAAGUGUUGGGUAGAGGAACCAGCAGGAGUCACUGGUCAGAGAGACCUGCAUCUUCCUUAGCUUCUACUUACAACCUGUGACUUGGGGCAAGUUAUCUAACCGUUCAGCAGUAAACAUGAUCUUUGUGCUCUUUGAAUUGUUUCAUAGAGCACAGGGUGUUGACUGUUUUUCCAGAAAAGCCACAUUCAUCAUUUGUGCUGAAAGCAUACCAAAACUAUGUCCAGAGACCCUUCCUCUGCUUCCCUGACCUCUGUGUCUUUCUUCUCAGCACAUCUCCUCCCACAUUAUCCAAAUCGUUUGGUUUCUGACUCCCUGCCUCUCACUGGAUUCCCCCAUCCUACAACUCAAGGCUCCUGGCAUGUGGAGCUGCACACAGAUGUUUCCAUCCUGUGAGUGCUUGACUGUUUCUGAGGCAAUGUCUCUGAGCAGGUGUUCUGGUGUGUACCUCCCGCUGUUUCUGCUUCUGUGUUUUCUGUGCAAACACCAGAAUGCAUUGCUGUUUUCUUAUGUCUGGAGAGAGCCCAAUUCAUGAUGAUGAUGAAGUAGGAUGUGCUUUCAGGCUGUUAGAUGGUGCAGUAGUUUUGCAGAAUAGAGUGUUAGGCCAAAAAGGUUUACGGAUUGCAAUUUUGAGCUACAACUUUAUCUGCCCAUGACCUGCUGUCUGUGGUUUGUUCUAUUGGGCUGGUGUUCUACAAGAACAUCUUUUAUCUUGACUUCCUACCCAUGCCCCAUGUUCCCGUGUGUCUCCUGGGUCUUUGGUACUUGUUCACCCUCACAUGAGCCUUCCCAAACAUGCUGGGUUCUUUAUCUCCUGACAACAUGUGAGGUUAGAAAAUGGAGUCAAAGAGUCUAUGGAAUCACUGUAUUUUACAAUAAUAGAUUUGAAGAGCCUUGGUGAAAAUAGCGAAUAAGCAGGGCUACCUGCUGGGCCUGCUUGCAAGGGGAUGAACUGUCCACAUGAAGGUCAACAGUGAGCGUCUUACAGUGGCCUGACUUCCUUUUUCUCUGUUUUUCUCUUUGUUUGAAAACUUGUCUUUGCUUUCUGAGAAUUUUACUGUAGCAAGGGACCCAGGGAUAUGGAAGACAAAUCCUGCUUUUAAAGAGGAUGCUGUUUUACCUUACCUCCUGAUUGCCCUUUGGGAAUUCUUUAUUUUGCAAGAGCUUUUCAUUCUUGCUUUGUUCCAUUUAUCACAAGUAAACACCCUUUUUGUCCUUGUGUGAUAAAAUUAGUUGCAUUUACUUGACACUGGCCACCUUUCCUUAUUGGAAAUAACAAUCUUCUUGAAGUUGCUCAUGAUUCCUACACAGAAGCCUGUAGAAAGAGCUUACCCAGAAGCAUUUGUUUGAAUGUUUUAAGUAGAAACUUAGGGAGUUAGGAGGAGAUGCCAGAGGGAAUGGUGGUGAAGUCAGAGGAAGCAAGGGAGAGAGGGGUCCUGGUGUAACUUACAAAUCACCCAGCCUAAAAUUCUACCCAUAUCCAGAUAAGGCAACUGACUGAUGAGAGACAGUGGUGGAACUCAGACCUAAGUAAUCUUACGGCCACCAGUGUGAAGUAUAUUUUAUAAUCAAUGUUCUUCUCACUUUGCAUAGCAGAUCAUGUUCUGAAAACUUGUAUGAAACUUAGUUAUUUUAGCUGCUUGUCGGGGACAUUUUCUCUUUGAGAGAAGCCAGUAAUACAUUUACUUAUAAAGUGAAGCAUAUGACAUUGGGAAAAACAUAUGACCUUUAGAAGCAGGCACACCUGAAUCAAGCUGUGGCUUUUCCACUUCAUUCAUUCAUUUAUUCAGCCAUUCAUUCACUGAGAAAUGUUUAUCAAGAGCAUUCACUGUUCUAGGCAUAAUGCCAAGCUGACACUGGUGCAUUUUCCGUGUCCGCUUUGGUAAUUUAGUAACUUCUCUCAGACUCAAUUUCUCAUCUAUAAAAUAUGAACACUAUUACUUACCUUGCAGGUUGCCAUGAAAGUUGACAUAAAGAUACAAUUUCUGGCAUAUAUCAUUUUUUUAUAUUGAGGAUGAUAAUUAUGCGAGUAA